GUGCUUGUUUCUGCAGCACAUAUACUAAAAUUAGAAUGAUAGAAAAGGUUAGCAUGUCCCCUGAGCAAGAAUGACAGGUGAAUUCAUGAAAUGCUCUAUAUUUUA